rnacentral:rRNA from 1 species
GGGCCCGCACAAGCAGCGGAGCAUGUGGUUUAAUUCGAAGCAACGCGAAGAACCUUACCAGAGCUUGACAUCUCCUGCAUAAUCCGUAAUGGGAUGAAAUCCUUCGGGACAGGAAGACAGGUGGUGCAUGGUUGUCGUCAGCUCGUGUCGUGAGAUGUUGGGUUAAGUCCCGCAACGAGCGCAACCCCUAUACUUAGUUGCCAUCAUUAAGUUGGGCACUCUAAGUAGACUGCCGGAGACAAUUCGGAGGAAGGUGGGGAUGACGUCAAAUCAUCAUGCCCCUUAUGUUCUGGGCUACACACGUGCUACAAUGGGUAUAACAACGGGAAGCAAGCCAGCGAUGGUGAGCAAAUCCCUAAAAAAUACUCCCAGUUCAGAUUGUUCUCUGCAACUCGAGAACAUGAAGUCGGAGUUGCUAGUAAUCGCGAAUCAGCAUGUCGCGGUGAAUACGUUCCCGGGCCUU